rnacentral:piRNA from 1 species
UGACUGCUGGGUGCCCUAGCUUC